rnacentral:pre_miRNA from 1 species
UGAUAUUUAGACAACAUUUUUUGACAACAUUUGAACAUUGAUUACGUGUUAAUAUGUGAUUGGUCAAAAAUUACUCCACAAUAAUGUUUAUGAUUAUUAUUAUUGAUUGUGAAGUAAUUUUUGACCAAUCACAGAUUGACACGUAAUCAAUGUUCAAUUGUUGUCAAAAAAAUGUUGUCUAAAUAUCA